ensembl:lncRNA
UUUUCAGCUAAUUAAACACUAAUGAAAACAUAUAUAUAUAUAAAUAUAUUAUAUUUCUGACAAUAGAUCCUCCUCAGUGUUUCACUCGGAACCUUUAACGGGCUCUUUGGGUCGCCAUGGUGAUGACACAGGAGAUCAAGCACACUGAGUUGUUACUACAGGAGUUGAAGGUCACUGUGUGUUUGUGUCGAUCAACAGAAGAAUAUAUUUUAAGUCGUCCUUUCUGGGAUGAAUGUGUUUCUUUCCACAGUUGACAGAUGAUAAUUGUAGUAAUCAGUGACAGUUAUCAUGUCGUCAGUGUUUUGUUGUGACUGCUGCAAAAUCACAGGAUUAAAAUUAUAGUUGACUUAAAACUGAAUAACUUUAAUUCAAACAUCAUUCGAGGCUGUAACAACAUUUAAAGACACAAACUGUCCACUAAUAUUCCAUAUUUAAUAAGAUGCAGAUUCCUAUUCAGGCCUCAUUAUAAAUGUAACCUGUUGAUAUUAGUUGGACAUUUUGUGGACAUUGGGAAUAUGUCUCAUUUGUUUGUUUUUUACCGCAGUGUGUCUGUUUACGAUCAGCUCUGUGUGUCGAAAACAAACCAACAAGCUGUUUAUGUGUGUUAUUACAGCGUUGUUAGAUAACCUUUUCAAGAAGGUGGCACACAGUUGAACGAGUCCACCACCGAUAGAAAACUUAGCUUAUUUGUCUCCAACAACAGGAACAAGUUUGAAAAGUAGUGAAACUCCUCCGUACAAAAAAACCUGUACAUUUGUUUUACAGAUUUCUUCUGUGUUUUUUAAAUAAAAUACAUUCCAAAAAUAUUCAGUCUAAUGUAAUAAUAAUACAAUCUGUAACUUUAAGUUGCACAUUUUACAAACCUUUUUGCAUAAACAUAUGUACUGUUUAUUUAAUAGAUUAAACUGUUAAGUUCUAGUUAAAUACUGUUAAUAUAUUCCUAAAAAUAUGUAAAAUUAGCAACAUUAAUAGUAAAAAGUAUUAGUUGUGUAACUUUAAUGUAUUAGUUAGUUAACUGACAGAUAUCUUGUAUAAUGAUGGAAGUUGAAUAAAUGUUGUUUAUCAGUGUAUAAGCAUUGGUAAACUGUCCAAAUACAGUUUUUAUCAGUGUAAACAGCAAUAAUUACUGUAAUUUCACAGAUAAUGACUUUUAUUACAGUUCUAUAACUUUUAACACUCAGAUUAUUUGUAUUAUAGCAGUGUUCACCUCAAUCUAUAGCUCAUUGCAUUGGUUUUACCGUCUAAAUAUAUUUAUUAUUAUGUUGCUAUCAGUCAAAUGCCUCAGUGACUAUAAUGUACAUGAUAAAUAUAAUUGUUACUGAUUAAAUACAUUAUAAUAAUAUUGAUAACUAGUUUAAUGUUGGAACCAGGAAUAUUUGGUGGUUGUAAGUGGCGUCGUUGUGACCACAGUGUCCCGACGGUAUCCCGGUCACCUGAGAAUUAUCAUGUAAGAGAGGAAGUUCUUUAACGAGAAAUAAGAGCAAUGAAAGCCAAGAGAAGAGGUAGAAAGGAUUUCGUUAAGUUGGAGAUAAGAGCGUAUUAUAGCCGGUAGAGGAGGGGAGAUAUGGGAGAGGGGAUAUGAUUCAGAGGGGACAAGGGGGACGUGAGGCACUUGUGGAAGAGAUGAGUUUUGGGCCUGUGGUGGAAGAUAAGUGUGAUGUUCUGACUGGAGUCGGCCUGGAGGUUUCACACUGAGCCCUCUUGGCUUCUGCAGCCUUUUCAAAACUCACUCAUGCAUUCUGAAUUACUACUGUCAAAAGAAUCGGGCUAUUUUCCUCUCAGAGAUAUACGGCCAUUACGCCGGCAGCAGAGAUAUUAAACUCUGUGCUCUUAUGUCUGUCUUCAAUAGUCCUGUACACUGUAAAAAAAAUACAGUAGAGCGAAAUCACAGAAAAUAACCCGUAAAAAUACAGUAAUUUACUGUAAUUACAGUUUUCAGCUUUAAUUUGACAUAAAAUCUUAUAUACAACAAAUAUAAUAACA